rnacentral:ncRNA from 1 species
CUGGUUACAGGAUAAUAGGGAAAAGGGUGAAAAUCCCUUACGGUCACGCCACUGUGUAGGUGAGGCAGGCUUAUUUUAUGUCACUGGGAAACCGGGAAGACAAGCUGUGCCGAUGAACCUUAGUCAGGAGACCUGCCUUUUUUGUAA